rnacentral:tRNA from 1 species
UCCCUGGUGGUCGAGCGGCUAAGAUUCUGCACUCCUAAUGCAGGGAACCACGGUUUGAUUUCUGGUCAAGGGA